AUUUUAUACUGGUUCGCUUAUAACACAAAGCUACUCCAGUCCACCCGGCCAAGGUGAUUUCGCCUUCAACAAGGACUUAAUCCACUAAUCUUGAAAGAUUACAAACAACGUCUAAGAUAAAAAAUCUCUUAGCCCUCUCAAGUAUACAGACUACACAGAGUCACUUGAGGAAAUCAACAAACAAUAGAAGAAGGAUUUAUGUAAUCUAGAGUGCUUCUAA
rnacentral:lncRNA from 1 species